CGGCCGAGCCGAGGCCGGACUCGGGGGAGCCGCAGGGAGAAGACCGGGCCGCGGCGACGGUGGCGUCCGGCACCCGCGCCUGCGCACUGCGCACUCUCCCGGUCUUCGUUCUUUCUGCUGCGGAAGGUUGCGGGACAUCUGUGUCCCCAGAUGAGGGCCGCCAGAGUCAGCAAGGGCCAGAUCACCAGCCACCAAAAGAGCCCCGGAGCCGGGUGGGCGUGCCCACCUCUAAUCCCAGCAGCUCGGGAGGCUGAGGCAGGAGGAUCCCAAGUUCAAGGCCACCCUCAGCAACUCAGUGAGACCCUGUCUCAAAAAAGGGUGAUGCUGGGGACAGAGCUGAGUUGGUACAGCACUUCCCUGCGUGCAUGAGGCCCCGGGUUCGAUCCCCAGCCCCCCUCCCCACACACAUGCACACACACACACACACACGCACACACACACGCACACACACGGAGGGGGGGCUAGGGGCGUGGCUCAGCGGUCGGGGAGGGCCCCUGGCUUCAAUCCCGGUACCAACCACAGAAGGCCCCGGGACGCCCAGUGAAAUACGAAUUUCAGAUGAACAACAGCUACUUCCUCAGGGCUGUCAUUAAGUCGGUCAGGGUCUCCCUCAAUUGCUGACUGUGGCUUCGAACUCGGCAUCCUCCUGCCUCGGCCUCCCAAACUGCUAGGAUCACGCAGUGCGCCCUGUCAGCUGACCUGUUUUGAGCCCCAGUGCUCAGGCGGAAGGAGUGGUGACGUGUCCAGGCACAGAUCGCCACCAGGUUCGACACCCAGGACUUCUUGGAGAGAAGAGCCUCCCUGCCCAGCACAAUGUCAGGCACCGUGGAUAAAUGGACCAAUCACGUCGGGACAGUGGCCACCUGAACUUCUCAGAGGAGAUCAGAGGCACGUGGUGGCGGGCGUGCUGCGGACACGGCAGCCCACGGGCGACCCACCCUCCCCCAGAACAUGUAAAGGGAGGCACCUGGGACUGCGGUCAGUGGCACGCUGACCCAGCCUCUUAUCAGACCAUCCAGCAAGCGCGUCACAGAGUGACAGGCCACCAACUCCUGACUCUGUCCCCGGGGCUCCAGCCCAGCUCUAUCUCCCUGACUGACGUGGCCCGUUUCGAAACUGCCUGCUGUCCAGCUUGGUGGCUUGUCGCCCAGCUGACCACCUGCGGGGACCCUGUGUUUGUGGCCCUCCCUGCUCCCGGCAGUGUCCCCCACUGUGGCAUGCGCUGGGGGAUCCCAGGGCUUGCACCUGCUGGGCGAUGCGCUCCCACUGAGCCACACCCCAGCCCUUGUUGUUUUAGGUAGGUUCUUGGUAGGUUGCCGAGGCUGGCCUUGAACCUGUGAGCCUCCUGCCUGGGCCUCCAAGUUGCAGAGACGAUAGGUAGGUGUCUGUCUCCCCAGUUGAGAACUGCCUCCUUGGCCACGGUGAGCCCUUUCUUAGACUUUCUGUAACGUCUGUCUGUCUGUCUCACUGUGAAGCAUGGCGUGGGACUUGGCGGUAUGGGUCUUGGUGAUUAAGAUUGAAGGAUAAAGGAACCUGUGAUGGCCCUGAUCAUGGCUGCCAGGUGAGCCAGGGGUACUCGGUGAAUUAUUGCUGAUGAAAGUGGCACAGCGGGUGAGUUUCAUUGUCGUUCACAACUGAAAUCACGGAAAGACACAGAUACAUCGGAUCUAGCUGAGGGCGUGGCUCACUCAACACUGAGGUCAUGAGAGAGCAGCCGACAGGAGCUGAGAGAGCCCAUGUGCCAGCAGGGCGCUGUGCACGACCCUGUAAGGUAGGUGUUACGUCAUCUCCCAUUUUAUAUAUGAGGAAACUGAGAGACAGAGAGGUUAAGUAUUUUGCCCAAGGCUGCACAGCCAGCAAGUGACUACUGGUGUUGAAACCCAAGCCUGUCCGUAGAGCUUAGUGCGCAUCACUUCUUGGAAGAUUUAACGUGCCCUUUCCAUGGGGUAGUGGGGAGUCACAAAAGUUAGGCUUAUUUUUUUUCUGCUCUCUCUGUCCAUCUACUUUGGCCUGGCAAUUAGUAGGUGCUCAAUAAGAAUCUGAAUAAAUUUGCAAAAGUCCUGACAAGUUA